AUCAAGAUGGCCGAGUGGUUAAGGCGCCAGACUUAAGAUUCUAAUUCAAAUAAUAGAUUAAUAGGUAAUCUUGUGAAAUCGUUACUUGGCAUUCUGGUCUUGAGAAGAAGGCGUGGGUUCGUACCCCACUCUUGACA
rnacentral:tRNA from 1 species